UACACAUGUAAAUAAGUAUAUAUAUAUACAUACGUAUACAUACAUAUAUGGGGAGAGAGAGAAACAAAUCGAAAAAGAUUUAUAAAAAUUUGCUUAUGCACGUAUAUUCAGUGUCAUGCACUAUAUUAAAAACGUUAUAAAUCGAAAAAAAACUAAAAAAAAAAAACUAAAACAUUUCUCUUUCAUUUAACAUAUCUGUGACUAAAUACAUGUGUCACGAAUAAACUAUUAACAUGUUUUGAAAUAAUUUCCCCAACGAAAUAUAAUUAUAAGAUGUGUUGUAUCUGAUGAACUUAAUCUAUUUCAUGUAUAACAACGGGUGGUUUAACGUAAAUAAAUAAAAUAAAAUAAAAUAAAAUAAAAAAAAUUAAGUAAAUUAAGCUAAACACAAUAAUAAUGCAUAAAGAAUAAAAUAUAAAUAUAAUGAUUAUUUCAAAUGCAAUUUAAGCCAUUUUUUUUUUUUUUUUCUUUUUUGUGUUGGAAUUUUUACCUUUUAAUGGCAUUUUAGUAUGGUACACAUUUUUUUUUUUUUAAUAUUAAAAUUAAUCUUCAAAUAUGCUUAAAGGUAUGUGUUUAAAAAAGAUAUAGGUUGUAUUGCAUUUUUAAUAAUGCAUAAAAAUAUAUACAUAUAUAUAUAUUCUGCUUUUUUAACAAAAAAUUGAAAAAAUAAUUGCUUUUUUUUUAUUAUAUGUUUGUAUUGAAGUAAAUUAACAUAAACGAUGAUACUUACAACGAAUUGAUGUGAUUGAUUAAUAAUAUUUAAAUUAAAAAAAAAUAACAAGGAUAUAAAAAGUUAAUUCAGUAAUAAAUUUUAAAGAACAAAACUGGGGAUUAAUUGGAAUAUGUUGUCAUAAUAAAAUGAUAAUAAAAAUUUAAUUAAAAACAAAGAUGAUUAAAAAAAAAAAAAAAAAAAAAAAAAAAAAAAAAAAAAAAAAAAAAAGUCAAAAUCAAAAUCAAAAUCAAAAUCAAAUCCCAAAUCAAGGACAGAUCACACCAAAUGAAUAAGUUUACGAGUAUGUAAUAACAUGUUAGGUCGGUUGCGUUUAUAUGGUAUAAAAUAUAAAUACAUACAAAUAUAUAUAUAUAUAUAUAUAUAUAUAUAUAUAUAUGUGCUUAAAUAAACAAGGGCGCAUAAAUAAACA
rnacentral:lncRNA from 1 species